ACAGCAAACUGAUUGGCCACGCCACGUGUCGCGCAAUUCCUCCUUGCAAUUGCUGUGAAGAAUGCAAAUCUCGCUUGUACAGACGCGCUUCGUGAUGCACAUGGCAGGUACGUAUAUGUGGUGAAAUAGAGUAACCGGAAACAAAAAUUUGCCAACAGCUAGAGAUCACGCAUUUUUUUUCACGCGCAACCGCGUGCUGUCAGUUGAUCGCGAAGUAGAUCGCAAAAACUGAUGCUCUUCUGAAGAAACAAUUGGAUGAGAAGCAAUGCGUUUGUAGGAAUUAUCUGCCGGAGCGUGUUAUCGGUCUCGCGGCGAUAUUUCAGUCUGACACCGAUGUCGAAGAGCAAGUUCGAGUACGUGAAGGAGUUCGAGCUGGACAGCAAGUGUCUGCCGAACUGCUGGAUCGUCGUUCGCAUAGACGGCAGAAACUUCUCCAAGUUCUGCGAUACACAUCGGUUCGUCAAACCGAACGAUGUGGCCGCGUUAGACCUGAUGAAUCGCGCGGCGAUCACCGUAAUGGAAGAUUUCAAAGAGAUCGUGCUGGCUUUCGGUCAGAGCGACGAGUACUCUUUUGUCUUCCGGAAAGACACAGAGCUGUACAAACGAAGAAUGCCGAAGCUGUUGACAAAUGUGAAUUCCCUCUUCGCCUCGUCCUAUGUUUUUCACUGGCCAAGAUAUUUUGCGGGUAAGGAGUUGUGUUAUCCACCGUCUUUUGACGCUCGUAUUGCGUUAUAUCCGACGGAUAAAAAUCUGAGAGACUAUCUGUCUUGGCGACAGGCUGAUGUGCAUAUAAAUAACUUGUAUAAUACUUGUUUCUGGAACCUUGUUUUAAAAGGACAUUUAACUCCGAAGCAGGCGGAAGAAAGACUCAGAGGCACAAUGGCUAGUCACAAAAACGAGAUACUCUUCACGCAAUUCAAAAUAAAUUACAACAAUGAACCCGCCAUGUUUCGGAAAGGGACGACGCUCAUUCGAAAAUUAGUCAGUGACAAUACGGGAAAGUUGAAGUCCGCUAUUAUUUUGUUAGUGGAUGACAUUAUCGGCGAUCGUUUUUGGAAAGAGAAUCCCGAAAUAAUCGGUUUAAAAAGUAUGGCCACUUAUCAGCGACCGAAUCAAACGAAUAAUGUUAAUAAUACAGCGCCUUCCUCACCUAGCGCAAUAGGACACACGACGAAUAACGGUUCGUCGUCGCAAGUAAUUAUUGUGAAUUCGAACCAAGUAAAAUAAGUACGUAUUAAACAAAAUUAGGAAAACGGAGAGAGAUCAAUUACAGUGCGAGACUGAAAGCGUUCGUACGAAACAAAUGUAAAUAUAAGCUGUAAAUACAAGCUAUUGUAAAAACAACAAGAUUUGGCGAGCGAACUCGACAAUGAAAAUAAUGACAGCGUUACUAUCGUAAGAAACAAAAACUGAAUUUGAUAAAGUAUAUUAAUAUAUUCACGUUGUUUUUUUUAUUUAAAGUAGUUAAUUCUUUAUAGAUAGAGGAACAUAAGAGGGAGUGUGGGAAGAUGAAUAAGGAAGGUGUAAGGAGUAGAGCGAAAAGAAUAAGCAAGAAAAGUAAGAGGUUAGGUUAGGGUUAGAUUAUGACGUCUAAAGGCAAUGAGAUAGGUAAGUCAAGUAGGUUAGGUCAACGAAGAAUAGGAAAGAAAGAGAGGAGAGAACCAAAGAGCGCGUUAAAAAUUCAGAGUUGCAAACUCUGACCGGCUAGCCUAGCACCUAGCACCGAGAAUACCGAGGUGGUGGGGGCACGCACACCAUAGGUUUGUUUUUUUUUCCUUGAACUGGUUGCAUUAGUUCACAGUCUCCUCAUAGGAGAACUAUAUUCCGAUUCCUCACCCUUCCCGGAUAUACUUUAUCACUCACUGGAUAUGAAACAAAGAUAAAAUGACACUCGAAUGCACUUGAGUGAGGAAUCGGAACACAGCCAUAAGUUCUCGCUUGAGUGCGUGCCUCCACCACUUUGGUGUUCUCGGUGCUAGGCUUCUCGACUUCUUUCAAUUCCUGCUGUUUCUG